rnacentral:rRNA from 1 species
AUUGAACGCUGGCGGCAGGCCUAACACAUGCAAGUCGAGCGUGCGGCGGACGGGUGAGUAAUGGCUGGGAAACUGCCUGCGGGAGGGGGAUAACUACUGGAAACGGUAGCUAAUACUGCCUACCAUCAGAUGUGCCCAGAUGGGAUUAGCUAGUAGGUGGGGUAACGGCUCACCUAGGCGAGGAUCCCUAGCUGGGCUGAGAGGAUGACUAGCAACACUGGAACUGGGACCCGGUCCAGACUCCUAGGGGAGGCAGCAGUGGGGAAUAUUGCAAAAGGGACGCAAGCCUCAUGCAGCCAUGCCGCGUGUGGGAAGAGGGCCUUCGGGUUGUAAAGCACUUUCAGCGGGAAGGUGUUACCCGCAGAGAAAGCACCGGCUAACUCCGUGCCAGCAGCCGCGGUAAUUC